GUGCCCUGACUGUCUACUGUGCAUGUUGUUUUUUUUUGUUAGGUGAAAAUCACCUUUAGGCAGUUAUUUAUAUCGGAAGUUUCAUCACACCGCUUAGAAUUCCCACAUUGUGAUUGAAAUGUAAAGAAAUGUAGCUAAGUUUGACACGAUUUAACCAGGUCUGCGGCGUUAAAUUGGCUAGUUAAAUGUCAAUGCACUGAAGCUUUGUAACGAAUUUAUUAGCUAGCAGUAUCUAACAUGCAACUAACUGUCUUUAAUACAUCCUGAAGGGUGUAGAACGCAUAUUUUGGGACUUUAAUCAAACAAGAUGAAGGAGCCAGAACUGUAACACAGUUUGCACUGGCAUUAGACACCGAUGUAUGUUGCCUAGAAACCCGGCGUUAGGGGCAGAAGCUAGAGUUUGAAUCAGGAAAGUUUACUCUCACGACCUCUACAAGCCAAAAUGUUGAAUACGAUUAUAUUUUGAUGUACUUUACUGUUUGUCCGUGCUGUUGGUUCUUUUGGCUUUAGAAAUGUGAGACAAUAUAUCCACAGGAAAUGAUAAUUACAUAAACUUGUCAAUGCAUUUAGAUGUAUAUCCCUGAAGCAUACGCAGAUCCAUGUAAUCACGAACUGGGCAAGUAUGCAUUUCUCCUGCAAGUCAUUUAAAACUUGUGCGCAGAGGAAUGCACAAACAUUGCUUUGAAAAUGUGUUGUAAUUAUACUUUCCUGUGGAUAUAUAUUGUCUUACAUUCCUACCGCCAAAAGGACCAACCACACUGACAACCGGUAAAGUGCAUUCAAAUAUUAUUUUAUUCAACCUUCUGGAUUUUAGAGGUGGUGAGAGGAAACGUUCCUGAUUCAAACACUAAUUUCUGCCCAAAGUAGAAUUCUCUGCAAUUCAACGUUGUGUUCAGGCAACCUGUUCAGGCACCUGUUUUCUGCACACACACCACCACCACCAAUAUGCUCAGUACACUGACAAAAUAUGUCAAAGUUCCCAGUGGAGAGGAUCAUUAAUGUCGGCAUCAUUGCUCACAUUGACCAUAGGAAGAGCACCUUGGCUGACAGGCUUCUGGAAAUUACAGGGAUGUAUCCUAUUGACCAGUCGGACUACAGCGCCCUCCGCAGUGCUGUGGAGAAACUGCAGUUUGAUGUGCAGGACAGCAGUCUGGGCACCGGGAGCAGUACCAAUUAAAUUAUCAUCUAAUCUCUCAUCCACUACUCAAAGCUACGCAAGUGGCUAGGCUUCCUGGGCCUGCUCCACAGAGUUGUUUCACCAGUGCUUGGAGAAGGAGUACAACUCCUCUGUCAAAGUGACAACCUCCACCAUGCCUACGAGGCUGUCCUGUCCUGCGCCAAGCUCAUUGAGGAGCAUGGGAAAGAGAAGAUCUGCAUAGUGAACCCAGUUCUCAGACAGGUCUGUAGUGACAGAGUACCUGGAUCCCAUGGUGAUGGGGACCAUCUUCGCCCCUGACAACUACACUGGGAAAAUCAUGAGUAUCUGCUUGUUGUGAGUAUGAGGAUACAGGGUACCGGGCAGCCAAUGUGAUCAAGAUGGAUAUUCUGCUGAACAGGAAACCUGUGGAGGAACUCACCCCUGUUGUUCACAAAGAGAUUGGGCGUACAGUGCAGGCAAUGCCAUGUCCGAGCACCUGCAUGACGCCAGAACCGGACUAAUGUUUGAGAUCACAGUACAAACAGCCAUCGGCAGCAAAGGGAGACCACAGAGAUGAUAACCAGAACGAUGACACGCCUGAAGAACCAGGCAGAGUGUAAAAAGAAGAUGCGGUAUGUUGGCACGUGCAAGUCCCCCAAAAGAUGUCUUCCUCAGUGUUCUGAAGAGGAAAGACAAGUAGAAUAUCAGUAUCCUUAUUUAUUGAAGCACGUUUUUGUUCAACAAAUAGACUUUAAAACAGCAAAAUAACUUUUAAAAUGUCCCAUACAUAACUUUAACCCCAAAAAAGUUAUAAUGUAGAUCUCAUUGACAAGAAAAAUAUUUGACGACAUGCACAGAUUACUCCCUCAAACAGACUUUAAGUGCAAGGUGCAAUACAUCAAUGAACGCCUGUAAAUAAUAAAACAAGAUGUGUUAUGUCAUUUGUUCUGUU